rnacentral:rRNA from 1 species
UACGGAGGGUGCGAGCGUGUCCGGAUUUAUUGGGUUUAAAGGGUGCGUAGGUGGCCCUGUAAGUCAGUGGUGAAAUACAGCCGCUUAAACGGUUGAGGUGCCAUUGAUACUGCAGGGCUUGAAACAAGUGGAGGCUGCCGGAAUGGAUGGUGUAGCGGUGAAAUGCAUAGAUAUCAUCAGAACACCGAUUGCGAAGGCAGGUGGCUACGUUUGAUUUGACACUGAGGCACGAAAGCAUGGGGAGCAAACAGG